rnacentral:rRNA from 1 species
ACAAGGUUUCCGUAGGUGAACCUGCGGAAGGAUCAUUACAGAAUGCAAGAUGGGGUUAACGAUGCUGGCUUCGGCAAGUGCUCGCCCCUCGACUUCUAUCUACUCACACCUGUGCACCUAGCGAACGCCUCCCAUUAGGAGCCGCCCCAUGUCUUUGGGGUCGAGGCGUUCACUCUUACCUUCACACCAAUGCCUGUAACGACGCAUGUUUACUGAGCUCCAAGGAGCGCAAAUGUUAAUACAACUUUCAACAACGGAUCUCUUGGCUUUCGCAUCGAUGAAGAACGCCGCGAAAGUGCGAAACGUAAUGUGAAUUGCAGAAUUCAGUGAAUCAUCGAAUCUUUGAACGCAUCUUGCGCUCCUCGGCAUUCCGAGGAGCAUGCCUGUUUGAGUGUCGUGAAGUCUCUCAACCCUCACUUGUAUUUGUGGGGUUGGAUUUGGACGCUGCCGUCUUGACGGAGGGCUCGUCUCGAAAUGCAUUAGCUGUUCCCACCUCGGUUCUAUUGACAACGGUGUGAUAAGAAAUUGUUCUCGUCGGUGUCGUAGACCAUAGUGGCGGCUUACAAUCGUCCCUCGCGGACAACGAUCACGUCAUCUGACCUCAAAUCAGGUAGGACUACCCGCUGAAC